CCUACGGGGUGCAGCAGUGGGGAAUAUUGCACAAUGGGGGAUACCCUGAUGCAGCAACGCAGCGUGAAUGAUGACUGCCCUCUGGUUUUAAAGCUUUGUCUUCAGGGGCGUUAAUGACGGUAUCUGUAGUGGAAGCCACGGCUAACUUGGUGACAGCAGCCGCGGUAAUACGUAGGUGGCGAGCGUUGUCCGGAUUUACUGGGCGUAAAGGGAGCGUAGGCGGACUGUUAAGUGAGAUGUGAAGUACUCGGGCUCAACUUGAGUGUUGCAUUUCAAACUGGAAGUUUACAGUUCAGGAGAGGAGAAUGGAAUUCCUGGUGUAGCGGUGAAAUGCGUAGAGAUUAGGAAGAACACCAAUGGCGAAGGCGAUUCUCUGGACUGUAACUGACGCUGAGGCUCGAAAGUGUGGGGAGCAAACAGGAUUAGAUACCCCAGUAGUC
rnacentral:rRNA from 1 species